CGGGGGAAGCAGCGUGGCGUCCCAGCCUCAGGCCUGCCAGGACGGUGUUCGGGAUCGAGAGGACCACACUGCAGCCCAGGACAAAAGCCCCACGGUAGCACAUUGUCCGGCAGGAGAGGAGCAGACCCACGUCCAAGAAGAUGGUUUUACCUUUCCACGCCCCUUCUCUGCGAAAUGAAGCCACACCACCACACAGUCUUGAAGAGGAAGCCUGGAAUGGGAGACGGCAACAAGCCCCGUCCCUGGAACGCUGGCCUCUCUGGACAAGCCACCCGCUUCGCACCCCUCCUCUUAUGCCCGUGGCGGUGGCACGGCGCUGUAUCCUGCCUGGGCUAUGGCCUCUGCUCUGUCGUCCCUCUUGCUCUGUCUCCCCUGUUUCUGAGCGGCCUAGAUGCCUCUCGGUCUGGCUGAAUAUCUUCUACGAAGAUCACUUCCCCGUCCAUCAGGGAGACACUUCCUGGA